ensembl:lncRNA ZNF45 zinc finger protein 45
AAGGAAACAUUCAGGUUUAAUAGAAAUGUGGUAUAUAUUGAUUUUGGUGAUGAUUACACAAGUAGAUACAUUUAUCAAAAUUCACGAAGCUGUAAACUUGAGACUUAUGCAUGUGCUUUCAUGCAAAUUACAUCUCAAUAAGGAACUGUUAGCAUACAAAAUUGCUGGUCACACACAACCUGGUGAUUCUGGACCCACUAAUGGGUUAUGACCUUCAGUUUGAUAAACACUAGUUCACAAGACCUGCAGGGCUGGGAAGAUGACCCCAAGUGUCUAAUCCAAUCCUCCAAGCCUUGGAGAAUUCCUCUGUUUACAAGUUUAUAGAAAACUUUAGAGAGGAACUGAAUAAAAAUUUCAAAAGUGACUUCUCCCUUUAACUCAUUUAACAUUGCUGGACACCUGCAGUGUGGUAGGCAUUGAAGAGGCAGAGUGGACUUGCUGUAAACAAAGUCCAUGCCUUCCAGGAGCUUCUAUUCUAGUGGAAGAGAUUUGGGCAUUUCUGUCUUAGUACUUUUGGUUCCCUCCAGAUCGGACCCAUCCUUCCCAUGCCUCUCAUCCAUGUAGUAUCUGCUAAAUGUCAAGGUUCUGAAUGAAGCUCUCUGUCUCCACACUCAUGAGGCUUCUCUGCUGUGUGGUCAUCCAACCACCAUGACACUUUGCGAGUUCUGGAGGAAAUAAAUGUUUUGUUUUCUACGACAGGACUAUUUCAGCACGCAUGUGAGGUAUUAACUCACGCAAUUUUAUAGAGAUUCUUUGCUGUAUGUAUUCUCUGAUGAGGCAAAGUCUUUGUCACCCUCAUCCCCAGCAUGGACUCGCUGAUGAAUUGUAAGACUGGAGCUCCAACUGAAGCCUUUCCCACACUCUUCACAUUUAUAUGGUUUUUCCCCUGUGUGGACUCUCUGAUGGGCCUGGAGGUAUGAUCUCUGUCUGAAGCGUUUACCACACACAUCACAUCGGUACGGUUUCUCUCCUGUGUGGACUCCACGGUGAGCCAGAAAAUUUGAGGCCCGACAGAAGCCUUUCCCACACUCCUCACACUGGUAGGGUUUCUCUCCAGUAUGGCACCUCUGAUGGGCCUGCAGCUGCGAGCCCACACUGAAGCCUUUCCCACACUCUGCACACUGAUACGGUUUCUCGCCAGUGUGGACUCUCUGAUGCACUUGAAGGCUUGAGAACUGACUGAAGGCCUUCCCACAUUUUUCACAUUUAUAGGGCUUCUCUCCUGUGUGGAUUCGACAAUGAACGUUAAGAUCUGAACUCCGGCUGAAGCCCUUCCCACAUGUACCACAUUUGUAUGGUUUUUCUCCAGUGUGGCCUCUCUGAUGGGCCAGAAGAUUUGAGGCCUGACUGAAACCUUUCCCACACUCCUCACAUUUAUAUGGUUUCUCUCCUGUAUGGACUCUAAAAUGAAUGUUAAAAUCUGAGCUACGACUAAAGCCCUUUCCGCAUGCAUCGCAUUGAUAGGGUUUCUCACCACUAUGGCCUCUCUGAUGGUCCAGAAGAUUUGAGGCCCGGCAGAAGCCCUUCCCACACUCCUCGCAUUUGUAAGGUUUCUCUCCUGUGUGGCUUAUCUGAUGGGCUUGGAGAUGGGAACCCACACUGAAGCCUUUCCCACACUCCUCACACUUAUACGGUUUCUCACCUGUGUGGAUUCUACAAUGGAUGUUCAGGUGUGAGCUAUAACUGAAGCCCUUGCCACACGCAUCACAUUUGUAAGGCUUCUCCCCAGUGUGGAUUCGCUGAUGAGCUUGCAGGCGUGAAUGCCAACUGAAGCCCUUCCCACACUCUUCACAUUGAUAAGGUUUCUUUUCCGUGUGAACUCUCUGAUGGACAUGGAGAUAGGAGCGCUUACUGUAGCCCAGCCCACAUUCCUCACAUUUAUAGGGUUUCUCCAAUGGGUGGGCUAUUAGAGGAGCCUGAAAAUGUGAGCUUUUUCUGAUGUUCCUCCCACACUCCUCUAAUCUGUGUGGAUUCUCUCCAGCAGGGACUCUUUGAUGUUGAUGAAGAUAUGACCUCUGACUAAAACCUUUGUGUGACAUAUCAUGAUUGUUCAGUUUUGCUCUACUGUGGACUCUCUGAUGGGCUUGAAGACUUGAAAACCAACGGAAGGUGUUUUCACAUUUUUCACAUUUAUAGGGCUUCUCUCCUGUGGAGGCUGUCCGGUUCAUUUGAAGGUAAGAGCCCCAUAUGAAACCCUUCCCACACUCCACCCCUUUAUAGGGUUUUCCUCCAGUGUAGUCUCUGCGCUGAACUUGAAGAUGUGAACUCUGACUGAAGUCUUUACUGAACUCAUCUUUAUAGAGUGUGUCACUUUGUUUUUCCAACUGAGAGCCAAUUCCUUGAAUAAUUCCCAUGGAAUCUCGACACCUGGUUAAUUCCUCUGUAACCUGUAGCCAGAUUUUUGAGCAGAAAAAUUCUUCGUGUGGCAGAUACCUUAAUCCAACUUCUUGAAGAGUCUCUAUGCCAUUUAGAUUCUGAUUUCCUAAGAGGAUAAAGAAAAU